AAAUGAAUAGACGGGGACCCGCACAAGCGGUGGAGCAUGUGGUUCAAUUCGAAGAUAAGCGAGGAACCUCACCAGGGCUUGACAGCUAGCCUAUGUAAAACCUUAAUCGGUUUUUCUUAGUGGCUAAGACAGGUGCUGCAUGGUUGUCGUCAGCAUGUGCCGUGAGGUGCACCGUUAAUUCGGGUAACAUGCGCAACCCUCAUCCUGAUUUAAUUUUCAUCAGGAAACUGCCUCCGAUAAGGAGGAGGAAGGUGGGGAUGACGUCAAAUCAGCAUGGUCCUUACGCUCUGGGCUACACACGUGCUACAAUGGCCACUACAAUGGGACGCCAAGUCGCAAGACGGAGCUAACCCCAUCAAAAGUGGCCUCAGUUCGGAUUGAGGUCUGCAACUCGACCUCAUGAAGUUGGAAUCGCUAGUAAACGCGAAUCAGCCUCGUCGCGUUGAAUACGUUCUCGGGUCUUGUACACACCGCCCGU
rnacentral:rRNA from 1 species